GAUGAACGCUGGCGGCGUGCCUAAUACAUGCAAGUCGAGCGAACGGACGAGAAGCUUGCUUCUCUGAUGUUAGCGGCGGACGGGUGAGUAACACGUGGAUAACCUACCUAUAAGACUGGGAUAACUUCGGGAAACCGGAGCUAAUACCGGAUAAUAUUUUGAACCGCAUGGUUCAAAAGUGAAAGACGGUCUUGCUGUCACUUAUAGAUGGAUCCGCGCUGCAUUAGCUAGUUGGUAAGGUAACGGCUUACCAAGGCAACGAUGCAUAGCCGACCUGAGAGGGUGAUCGGCCACACUGGAACUGAGACACGGCCCAGACUCCUACGGGAGGCAGCAGUAGGGAAUCUUCCGCAAUGGGCGAAAGCCUGACGGAGCAACGCCGCGUGAGUGAUGAAGGUCUUCGGAUCGUAAAACUCUGUUAUUAGGGAAGAACAUAUGUGUAAGUAACUGUGCACAUCUUGACGGUACCUAAUCAGAAAGCCACGGCUAACUACGUGCCAGCAGCCGCGGUAAUACGUAGGUGGCAAGCGUUAUCCGGAAUUAUUGGGCGUAAAGCGCGCGUAGGCGGUUUUUUAAGUCUGAUGUGAAAGCCCACGGCUCAACCGUGGAGGGUCAUUGGAAACUGGAAAACUUGAGUGCAGAAGAGGAAAGUGGAAUUCCAUGUGUAGCGGUGAAAUGCGCAGAGAUAUGGAGGAACACCAGUGGCGAAGGCGACUUUCUGGUCUGUAACUGACGCUGAUGUGCGAAAGCGUGGGGAUCAAACUGGAUUAGAUACCCUGGUAGUCCACGCCGUAAACGAUGAGUGCUAAGUGUUAGGGGGUUUCCGCCCCUUAGUGCUGCAGCUAACGCAUUAAGCACUCCGCCUGGGGAGUACGACCGCAAGGUUGAAACUCAAAGGAAUUGACGGGGACCCGCACAAGCGGUGGAGCAUGUGGUUUAAUUCGAAGCAACGCGAAGAACCUUACCAAAUCUUGACAUCCUUUGACAACUCUAGAGAUAGAGCCUUCCCCUUCGGGGGACAAAGUGACAGGUGGUGCAUGGUUGUCGUCAGCUCGUGUCGUGAGAUGUUGGGUUAAGUCCCGCAACGAGCGCAACCCUUAAGCUUAGUUGCCAUCAUUAAGUUGGGCACUCUAAGUUGACUGCCGGUGACAAACCGGAGGAAGGUGGGGAUGACGUCAAAUCAUCAUGCCCCUUAUGAUUUGGGCUACACACGUGCUACAAUGGACAAUACAAAGGGCAGCGAAACCGCGAGGUCAAGCAAAUCCCAUAAAGUUGUUCUCAGUUCGGAUUGUAGUCUGCAACUCGACUACAUGAAGCUGGAAUCGCUAGUAAUCGUAGAUCAGCAUGCUACGGUGAAUACGUUCCCGGGUCU
rnacentral:rRNA from 1 species